rnacentral:lncRNA from 1 species
AUUUUUUAUAUAAUAUGUAAUUUGCAUUUUGUGUUCAAUAGAGAAGGAAGCAAAAGAAUAUAAAGUAGAAUUUUGUCCUAUGAAGUUCGCUGAUAAAAUUGCAUUUCACAUUCUGAGAUAAUGAGUUGGAAAACAUUUGCCAUUUUAAAAAAUGAAAUAUUGAAAUGAUCACACUUUUCACACUGUCAAGAGCAAAAAUUUCAUCAGCUCAUUUAGAGCUUUUCAAGGAGGCAAAAGCACUGAAGAGUUUGAGAACUCUUGAGGUUUCUGUGGUUUGAAAUAACUAUGAAGAUUUCUGUUAAGUUUCAUACUGACUGCAGAAGGCCAAGGGAUCAUAAAAGAGAAGGAUCUGGAGAGCCCCUAAGAAUUUUAAUUUUCUUCUGAAAGGCCUGGUGUUUGAGAAGAAAAUAAGACACAAUAAUAGUAAGUUGUUUUGAAAUUAAUUUACAUUUGACGGGAACAAAAAUUUUAAUGUGUGCAAGCGUACUCCUCUCCACAUUUCCCCCUUUCCUCUUCUGAC